GGAGAGAUGGCCGAGUGGCUGAAGGCGGCGGUCUCGAAAACCGUUAGGCGUGCAACACACGUCUCCGGGGUUCAAAUCCCCGUCUCUCCGCCA
rnacentral:tRNA from 1 species